rnacentral:rRNA from 1 species
AGUGAACGCUGGCGGUAGGCCUAACACAUGCAAGUCGAACGGCAGCACAGAGGAGCUUGCUCCUUGGGUGGCGAGUGGCGGACGGGUGAGGAAUACAUCGGAAUCUACUCUGUCGUGGGGGAUAACGUAGGGAAACUUACGCUAAUACCGCAUACGACCUACGGGUGAAAGCAGGGGACCUUCGGGCCUUGCGCGAUGGCAUGAGCCGACGUCGGAUUAGCUAGUUGGAGGGGUAAAGGCCCACCAAGGCGACGAUCCGUAGCUGGUCUGAGAGGAUGGUCAGCCACACUGGAACUGAGACACGGUCCAGACUCCUACGGGAGGCAGCAGUGGGGAAUAUUGGACAAUGGGCGCAAGCCUGAUCCAGCCAUACCGCGUGGGUGAAGAAGGCCUUCGGGUUGUAAAGCCCUUUUGUUGGGAAAGAAAUCCAGCUGGCUAAUACCCGGUUGGGAUGACGGUACCCAAAGAAUAAGCACCGGCUAACUUCGUGCCAGCCGCCGCAGUAA